AAAUGAAUUGACGGGGGCCCGCACAAGCGGUGGAGUAUGUGGUUUAAUUCGACGCAACGCGAAGAACCUUACCUGGUCUUGACAUGCCACUGAAAAUCUUAGAGAUAAGUAAUAGUUACAGUGGACACAGGUGGUGCAUGGUUGUCGUCAGCUCGUGUCGUGAGAUGUUGGGUUAAGUCCCGUAACGAGCGCAACCCUUGUCUUCAGUUACCAUCAUUAAGUUGGGGACUCUGGAGAGACUGCCGGUGAUAAACCGGAGGAAGGUGGGGAUGACGUCAAAUCAUCAUGCCCCUUAUGAUCAGGGCUACACACGUACUACAAUGGCGUAUACAGAGGGCAGCGAAGCAGUGAUGUGAAGCGAAUCUCAUAAAGUACGUCUCAGUUCGGAUUGGAGUCUGCAACUCGACUCCAUGAAGUCGGAAUCGCUAGUAAUCGCGAAUCAGAAUGUCGCGGUGAAUACGUUCUCGGGCCUUGUACACACCGCCCGU
rnacentral:rRNA from 1 species